UUUGAGACCAGCCUGGCCAACGUGGUGAA
rnacentral:piRNA from 1 species